GAUAAUGUGGACUUCCGAGUCCCUGUGUUGCUUGCACGGAAGGAAGCAUCCCUGUUAGCAGCCUGGGUGGUAACCUCCUGGUCAGUCCUGGGAGACAAGAGGCCCAGUCCUCUUCAGUCUCUCCUGUCCUUACGACCCGCCACAGUCCCCUUUCCAACCAUAGGACUUGGGAUUCCCUGUGGCCCGGUAUCUCACAGCAUUUUCUAUUAUGACUUUUAUGGAUGGUCACAGAUGUGAAGAUGAGAUGUGAAGGUCCUGCCUACAUGUGAUUACCAGACAAUCCAUUUCUUUUUACAAAGGGUUUCUCUGUGUAUCACUGGCCAUCCUAGAACUCGCUCUGUAGACCAGGCUGACCUCGAAUUCACAGAGAUCCACCUGCUUCUGCCUCCUGAGGGCUGGGAUUGAAGACAUGUGCUACUACCACCUCCCAGCUCUGGGAUGAACUCUUGAGAAUCUACCUCCCUUCCACUUGCAGCCCGGGGAUGUCUGACCAUUCAGUGAUUCCAGAAGCCUCUGGAUGCAGGUGU